AGAUUAAGCAUGCAUGUCUCAGUACAAGCCAUAUUAAGGUGAAACCGCGAAAGGCUCAUUAUAUCAGUUAUGGUUCCUUAGAUCGUACACACAUUUACUUGGAUAACUGUGGUAAUUCUAGAGCUAAUACAUGCAAACAGAGUUCCAACCAGAGAUGGAAGGAAUGCUUUUAUUAGAUCAAAACCAAUCGAUGGUAGCCAUGCCAGAUUAUGUUUAUUUAUAUUUAUAUAUUUGGUGUUUUUUGGUUAUUAUCGUUUAAUUUGGUGACUCUGAAUAACUUUAAGCUGAUCGUACGGUCUUGUACCGACGACGCAUCUUUCAAAUGUCUGCCUUAUCAACUGUCGAUGGUAGGUUCUGCGCCUACCAUGGUUGUAACGGGUAACGGGGAAUCAGGGUUCGAUUCCGGAGAGGGAGCCUGAGAAACGGCUACCACAUCCAAGGAAGGCAGCAGGCGCGCAAAUUACCCACUCCCGGCACGGGGAGGUAGUGACGAAAAAUAACGAUACGGGACUCAUCCGAGGCCCCGUAAUCGGAAUGAGUACACUUUAAAUCCUUUAACGAGGAUCCAUUGGAGGGCAAGUCUGGUGCCAGCAGCCGCGGUAAUUCCAGCUCCAAUAGCGUAUAUUAAAGUUGUUGCGGUUAAAAAGCUCGUAGUCGAAUCUGUGUCCCACACUGUCGGUUCACCGCUCGCGGUGUUUAACUGGCAUGUUAUGUGGGACGUCCUACCGGUGGGUGGUGUAAAUUUAUUCCUAAUAUAUAUUAUCUUAAAUAAUAUUCAUAUGUAUAUAUAUUAAACGUGUACGAUUUGUUGUUUGUGUGUGUGUGUGUAUUUAAGUUGUUUGUGUUGUCUUUUGUUGUUUUUAUUGUUAUUAUAUAUAUCAUCUCUUAUAUAUGUUUGUUGUUGUUGUUGUUUGUUGUUUGGUUUGUGUUCCACACGGCUAGCAGUGAGCGCAGCAUCCACAACUAUAUAUGUAUAUGUAUAUAUGUAUAACAGUUGCAACUUGAGAUGCACACAACGUGCGCACAUAUACCAUGCAAAUUCGUUGCGUUGUUGUAUAUGUGUGAUAUUUAUGUAUAUAUAUAUAUUUAUGUGGAUAAUUUACCGUAAGUGUUUAGCCGUGAAGAACGGCGGCAACCCCCAAUUGCAAUCCCGUCGCGGUGCUCUUAAUUGAGUGUCGAGGUGGGCCGGUACGUUUACUUUGAACAAAUUAGAGUGCUUAAGGCAGGCUAAAAUUUCGCCUGAAUAUUGUGUGCAUGGAAUAAUGGAAUAGGACCUCGGUUCUAUUUUGUUGGUUUUCGGAACUCCGAGGUAAUGAUUAAUACGGACAGAUGGGGGCAUUCGUAUUGCGACGUUAGAGGUGAAAUUCUUGGAUCGUCGCAAGACGGACAGAAGCGAAAGCAUUUGCCAAAAAUGUUUUGAUUGAUCAAGAACGAAAGUUAGAGGUUCGAAGGCGAUCAGAUACCGCCCUAGUUCUAACCAUAAACGAUGCCAGCUAGCGAUCCGCCGAAGUUCCUCCGAUGACUCGGCGGGCAGCUUCCGGGAAACCAAAGCUUUUGGGUUCCGGGGGAAGUAUGGUUGCAAAGCUGAAACUUAAAGGAAUUGACGGAAGGGCACCACCAGGAGUGGAGCCUGCGGCUUAAUUUGACUCAACACGGGAAACCUCACCAGGCCCGGACACCGGAAGGAUUGACAGAUUGAGAGCUCUUUCUUGAUUCGGUGGGUGGUGGUGCAUGGCCGUUCUUAGUUGGUGGAGCGAUUUGUCUGGUUAAUUCCGAUAACGAACGAGACUCUAGCCUGCUAAAUAGACGUACUUUACCGGCAUCUCAAGGCCCACCGGCUGCUAGUUUUCCAUUAUGUUGUUUACAUGUUUUUUUCAAUUUCUUCUUAUUUUCAAUAUUUUAACACACUAUUUUAUAUAUAUUAUAUAUAUUUAUAUUAUUGUUAUAUUAUAUUAUGUAUGUGUGUGUGUGUGUGUGUGUGUUUGUCUAUUUUAUAUAUAUGGGGUAUAUUAUUUUUAUAUACAUACCAUACACAUUUAAGUUUAUUUUGUGUGCUGUGUUGUGUGUAUAAUUAAUUACCCCCUCUAUAUAUUUAUAGAUAUAUAUAUAUAUAUAUACACAUAUAUAUGCAUGUGUAUAUAAUGGUGGUGGUGUGUGUGGUGUAUGUUUUUGUGUUUUAUAUGUUGUUAUGAUGGAAGAAUGGGAUGGCAUGUUUAACACGUAUGGGCUACAGUUUUUUGGUGUGGUUUUUACUGCCGGCGUACAAAUAAUUCUUCUUAGAGGCAGGCGGCUUGGCCGAACGAGCUACACUGAAGGAAUCAGCGUGUCCUCCCUGGCCGAAAGGUCCGGGUAACCCGCUGAACCUCCUUCGUGUUAGGGAUUGGGGCUUGCAAUUGUUCCCCAUGAACGAGGAAUUCCCAGUAAGCGCGAGUCAUAAGCUCGCGUUGAUUACGUCCCUGCCCUUUGUACACACCGCCCGUCGCUACUACCGAUUGAAUGAUUUAGUGAGGUCUUCGGACUGGUACGCGGUAACGUUUCCGACAUUACCGAUGUUGCUGGGAAGAUGACCAAACUUGAUCAUUUUUGGGAAGUAAAAGUCGUAACAGGGUUCCCGUUAG
rnacentral:rRNA from 1 species